rnacentral:rRNA from 1 species
UCGAGAGGCAUCCACAAUGGGGGAAACCCUGAUGGUGCGACGUCGCGUGGGCGAUGAAGGUUUUCGGAUCGUAAAGCCCUUUCAGCAGGGACGAAUGUGUCCGGUGCUAAUAUCACCGGGCAAGAGACUGUACCUGAAGAAGAAGCUCCGGCUAACUCCGUGCCAGCAGCCGCGGUAAGACGGGGGGAGCAAGCGUUGUUCGGAUUUACUGGGCGUAAAGGGCGUCUAGGCGGGCCGGCAAGUCAGGUGUGAAAUCCCACGGCUCAACCGUGGAAUUGCACUUGAAACUGCUGGUCUUGAGUACGGAAGAGGAAAGCGGAAUUCCUGGUGUAGCGGUGAAAUGCGUAGAUAUCAGGAAGAACACCGGUGGCGAAGGCGGCUUUCUGGUCCGAUACUGACGCUGAAGCACGAAAGUGUGGGGAGCAAACA